rnacentral:rRNA from 1 species
CCUACGGGAGGCUGCAGUCGAGAAUCAUUCACAAUGGGGGAAACCCUGAUGGUGCGACGCCGCGUGGGGGAAUGAAGGUCUUCGGAUUGUAAACCCCUGUCAUGUGGGAGCAAAUUAAAAAGAUAGUACCACAAGAGGAAGAGACGGCUAACUCUGGGCCAGCAGCCGCGGCAAUACGGAGGUCUCAAGCGUUGUUCGGAAUCACUGGGCGUAAAGCGUGCGUAGGCUGUUUCGUAAGUCGUGUGUGAAAGUCGCGGGCCAAACCGGCGGACUGCCCAUGAUACUGCGAGACUGGAGUACGGGAGGGGGAAGCGGAAUGCUCGGUGUAGCGGUGAAAUGCGUAGAUAUCGAGAAGAACAC